CCCUCCGGCCGCGCUGGCCGCCCUCCCUUCCAUCGCAGGCGCCGCGACGUGGUUCUUGGGAACUGCGGGACCCGGAGGGCGGUGGGGGGCGGUGGGGGGCGGCCCUACUGCCUAAGCGCCCUUUCGAGAGUCGCGCAUUUGGUGCGUUGGCCGGUUUGCUUGUGCUUCCCAGAAGCCUCCCCUGGUUCUGUUGUCCGGACACCCAGGGCCUAUUUACAAAUAAAAUCGGAGCUGGCAGCGGUGACCUGUACGUAACCGGACGCUAAAGAGAUACUGAUUCCACUACCCAGAUGGUAGAGUUCAAUCUGUUUUCUGGCCAAGGCCGCGCAGUUAAUUUUUAUCCUAGUAAAAAAUAAUAAACACGGCAUUAGCAACUAAAUGUUUAUCAAUUUGCAGUUCAUUUCCAGCCAGAUCAUUUCACUCCUGCCUGUUUUUACUGCUAGCUGAUGCACUGGAGUGCUUUUCCUGAAACCAUAUGUGACUAUUUAAGUCUCAGCCUCCGUAGCAUUUAUAUGGUGCUUUUCACCUUAAUUGGAUAAUAUUAUUUGGCUAUUUCAGGCAUGGUCCUCAAAUAUUGCAUUUUAAUGAUGAAGAAACUGCAGUGAAGGUUGAAUGAGUGGCUGGAGAUCGCCCCACAGUUCUUGUUUUGCUUUUACAUCCAGCACAAACCUGCGUGUGCUGGACUGUGUGCCCGAGCAGGGCUGCCUUGGUGGCGUUUCUUUUCCUCGUCUUACAGGGGAGUGAAUACCAGAAGAGGUGGCAGAGAAGAAUUAACACAGGGGGUUAGGAACUCCGAAUAGGAUGAUGUCCUGUCAUGAGAGAUGAACAACAAUAAGAGUGCACUGAAGCUCGAGUGCACCCAGCUGCCCAGGCAGCCAACCCGGUCUGCAAACGCUUUGGCUCAUUUUGUCAUCCUAGUGGACUUACACCAUUUGGUUGUGUCAUCUACUGUUCAUCACCAGACUGUUAGAGCCAGAAACGAUUCAGUGAUCACAAAAUGAAGGCAUGGCUAUACUGUGAAUCAUGCAGGCGCUCAACCCUCUUCUCGGCUUCCUGGUUCUCCUUCGUUUGAGGGUGUCAUAGAAAUCUUGACGUCGCUACAUGCUUCAGGGUGGAUCCGCGGUGACUGCUUGGGCAAAGGGAGAGAGAAAAGAACUUGCAGACUCAGCAGUGUCAAUCAGAAUAAGUGCCAUAUCCGUUCUGUCUCUAUCUCCCCAGGGAAAUAACUCAUUUUUCUCGAAGCCUCAGAUUUUCCCCCUGUAAAACGGAGAGGACAGUAGGUCUUCUCUCUGCGGGCCGGCAUACAAAUAAGGGGCAUAUGUACUCAAGGCUUGGCAUAGUGCUUGGGAUGGAGGAGACACUCAAGAAAUGCUGCUGAUAAGAAGGGGUAGGCUUGACAGGGGCUGGUGGCAAGGGGUUGAAGUUCCUUUAUUUGGAACUCCAAAUAUGAGGCUGUGUCCCAUUUCCCAAUGAGCAGGUUACAAGUCUUGUGCGUGUCUGUGUGUUUUCUUGCUUAGAUUGAAUAUAUAUUCUUUUAAUGAUGCGAGUGAAAUAGUCAAAUUUCUAGUUAUAAAAUUUAUUGAAUUAAUUAUGUGCAGAUAUAAAAUGAUACUCAUAAAUAUACUUAUUUAAAAAUGUUGCCUUUAAAAAAAAACUUAUUAUUCAGACCCUUUGUCAUCAUCUGUCUUUAUCAUAGCUGGAGCCCCUUUUAAAGUGAUCUCUCUCAGUCUUCCAGAAUACACCAUCCCGCUGCCACCCAUAUAUCUUUGGGAUUUAGUACUAUUGAGUGUAUGUAUUGUGGUCACUGGAAAUGUUAUCUCAAGUGAUCUCCAUAAAGGUAACUUCUUGUACUGCUUUUAUAUUUAUUUAUUUAUUUAUUUAUUUAUUUAUUUAUUUAUUUAUUUAUUUAUUUAUUUAUUUUUACUGCUUUUAAAUGUGAUUUUAAUGAGGUUGGGGCUACAUAAGGAAAUGUGCACACAUUUUUAACGACGCAUACUAACAUACGAAGGAAUGAAAUGACACGAGGUCUGGGAUUUUCUUUAAGAUAGUUCAGCAAAGAGGGGGUACCUGGCUGGCUCCAUUGGUGGACCAUAUGACUCUUGAUCUUGGGGUUGUAUGUUCGAGCCCCACACUGGGGGUAGAGAUGACUUAAAAAUAAAAUCGUAAAAAAGAAUAGUUCAGCAAAGAGGAAAAGGAAAAAGGCAAAAGAGGAACAAGUGAAGCAAAUUUGGAAAAAUCUGGGUUGUUAUUCAUCUAUAUGAAGGGCAUAAGGAACUUCAUUUUGCUAUAUGCUCUUCCGAUAUGUUUGAAGAUUUUCAUAAUAAAACUUUUUUUUUCCCCAAUGAGCUUUAAAAGACGUACUUACAAUAUCUAAUACUUGCAGGAAUAACUACAAUAACUUUGAAAUAUUUUUUUUUAAAAACCAAAACCAAAACCAAAACCAAAACUAAAUCAGUCUUCCAGGCAACCUCUGUGAUCAUACCAGACUAGCACUGGUGGAAUUUCUUUCGGGGUAUUUUGUUAUUUAAAAUAAUGGAAUUGAGUGAGCACUUGACAAUAUGAAGAACUUUAACAGCCACAAAUAUAUGGUGACAUCUCAUAUUUGCCCACAUGUGUUAUUUUCCUCUGUGCUUUGUUGGGCUCAAUGGAUGGGGUUGGUAAUGGCCCCAAAUGGAGAACUUCUGUAAGGGAUGGGAAGACUUGCUGCAGGAUCCUUUGUCAAAAGUACUUAUUACCUAGUGCCCUUGUUGGCAUCUGAGCUGGAAGGCACAGGAUCACAGGGAACAUGCAGUCCUGGAAGCGGGCCUGGUGGCACAGGCCUGGGGAUGGGGUGUCAGUGAUGGUGUAAAAGGGGAGAGGCAACAUUUUCUUCAUUGGGCAAUGCUUAUCCUCUGGAGAAAGUGCAUAGAACUGUGGUCUACACAGCCAGAAUGAGAGAGUGGUUGGGUAACUGUCCAGUAAACUCAGCUGAAGUCAGGCAAGAAAGUUUGGGCCUAAGAGUCCUAAAUAUUCACAGUCCGAAGGGAUCAGAAAACUCUUCAAAAUUUAGGUUAGUUUUGGGGGCACCUGGGUGGCUCAGUUGGUUAAGCGUCCGACUCUUGAUUUUGGCUCAGGUCACGGUCUCAGGGUUGUGAGUUGGAGCCCCGAGUUGGGCUUGGUGCUAGGCAUGGAGGCUGCUUAAGUUUCUCACUCUCCCUCUGCCUCUGCUUCUCCCCCACCUCUAAAAAUUAUUAGUUUUGUAGUUAUGGCUUUUCCAAAGGAGGAAAGAAAAUUUAUUAUUUUUAGACAUUUUUGAAGAAUAGGAUUCUUUCCAUACAAGCAUAGUAGAUUAUUUGCCAGCAAGUAUUAAAAUUAAAAAUACCUACCCAGCUGUGUGGGAAGUCUGGAAUUCUCUGGAAUUCUUUUUUUUUUUUUUUUUUUUUUAAUUGCAUUGUCCCCCAUGAAUGCACUAUGUUAUGCCACAGGCCAGUCACCAUCUUUGAGAGAGUUACUUCUAACACUUUGGUGUGUCACCUCAUUCACACUUACCAUAUCAUAAGAGAGUCUUUAAUAUUUUGCAAGAACCUUCCCCCAAUCAUAAAAAUCACAGCAUGAUGGCCUUAUAGUGACUAUCUCAACACUGCAGUGCUAGCAGAUUGCUCGGAAUGCAGAAAAGCAAAACAAGAUAAACAAAAUACCAGUAUCCACAAACAGAAAGCAGGUUCUUUUGGGGCGGUGCAUGUCUUUUUGAUGAGCUAAGUGUUGAUUCUAACCCCAAAAGACAGAAAAGUGUGAGGUUAGAUAAGUGUCUGCUAGAUUCAUGAUUGCCAUGUGGAUUCUGUGAAGUCAGCUUCGAGGUCACCAGCGCUCGUUGCAGAGUAAAGGUCACCAAUUGUUCAUCCUUGCUCCGAUUGGGCAGCUCCUGAAAGCAGAACGUGCACCACCUUCUGGAAGCCCUCUGCUAACUUCAGCUCAGCAACUGUGAAGGUGGAUGCUUCUAGCAAGGGAGCUCAGGAUGGAUUCUGCAGGCAUUGCUUGAGCAACGCCAAGUGGCCACUGGCCAGGGUCAAAGUUAAACCAGGAGAUGGCUAUCAAAUGCAGUUGUUGGGUUUGGCACAUCUCUCUUGAGCUGCUGCGGAGCAGGAAAGAGAGACGUUUGUUUGUGGCUUCAGUUCAUCAGUUCUCCAGUGCACUCUUUAAUCUGAGCCUUUUUAUUUGCUCAAGGGAAAAACAAGUCUGCCUCCGCCCACCACGGAGGAUUUAAAUCGGACGGUCCCAUAGAGUCCUCAGCCCACGCCUUUUUACAUUUAUUUUCCAGCAACCUUAUUAGUUGGUUUGGGAUGCCUUCUGCUUGUGUGAAAACAUUUUCCAAUAGAUUUGCUGCUGCACAUCCUAUGAUAAAUCUAAUUGUUUCCCCCUGAAUCGUGCUGAUCUGGGACACUGCAUUUGCACUCGCAUGUACGCGCUUGCACAAAGGAUAGCGGGGCUGGAUUAAGGCACGCAGGUCUGGCUGCACAGCCGCUCCCGUUGGGUUUUCUACGCUGUGGUUAUCCUGCCUUCUGGUCGGUGAAUAAAUGCUGUUUGGACGGGGCCUGGCACAGAUGCUUUAACCGUAAAGCUUAAUGUAUAACUAGUGUGUUUUUCUUCUGUGUCAGCAGUUGGCACCACGACACUGUAAAUGCGGAUUCGGUGAGUCGACGGGCGCGCGUGUCCGGGAGGGGAGGGCUGCCGUAAGCAGUUUUGAAAUUCAUGCCAGGGGUUGCUCUAAGCGAUAAGGUAAUUUGAGUAACCUGUACGGACUGUGGACUCGCAGGUUGCAAAAACAGGAAAGUCUCUUGUUUAAAACCCCUCUAAAGCAACAUGCGGGCUUCGAAAAGAAGCAGGCUCGCGGUUAGGGAUCGUACUUCCUUGUUGAUAGGCUGCCGGUGACGCAAGGCCUCCUGGGAUUGCAGCGCGGUGACCGCAGGCCCGACAGUUGCCCUGACCGGCCUCUGAAACAGGCCCGGGGCUUUCUGGACGGAUGAGAAGUCUAAAAAUUUCCCUUUUCAUUUCCUCUCUUGUGUGACUUUGUCAUUUUUUUUUUCUUUUCUCUAAACCGGUGAUUGAAAAGGGAAUUUUGCCCGUGCUCUGAAGGAGUUCAUCUUGACUUAGUAGCUUCCCUCCCACUCCUCAAAAAUCCCACCCUGAAAACCCCAAGCUAAAAAAAUAAAAAAUAAAAAAAUAAAAAAAAAAAAAGCAUCCAUCCUGGCACAUUUUUCAGUGAGCCUGUGUCUGAUGAAUCUGCUUGUGAAGCUGGAUUCAUAAUGAGAAGCUCUUUAGAAACUGUAUGAUUUUUUUUUUUUUUUUUAAACCCUCUGGAAUGUCUCUGUGUCCUCCGCCUUCUGGGAGUGUAAAGCCCAGUGAAUUCAAAGAAGAUAACAUAAGGAAGAAGUGUGUAUUUUACUGUUCCAGUAAAUUACCAGUGUCACAUGCCGAGUCUCACCAAACGAACCCAUCUUUACUGAUUCCCUUGUCUGGGCCCCGAUGAUCUACCUGGGAUGUUUGCAUGUCAGGCUGCUCUCUCUUUCUUUGUCACCUCUGUUUGUACAACCUGCCUUCAACAUUUAUCCCCUCAAGUGUAUUCCCAGGUCACAGAUGUCAUAGAAGAUGAAAGCACACUGCCAAUACCCUGUGAGCAAACAAAAUGGUCCAAGAUCUUGGGAUAAAAUAUUGCAAGAUGAAGUCUUCCUGGGGAGAUGACUGGCUGAACAAGAACACUACACAUUCUUUUGGUCCAUGGCAAUAUAUUAUUUACCCAUCAGCUUUUGAGUUUGAGAACAUUUUGUUGAACAUCUUGUUCUCUGAAGACUUACGGCCUGAGAUGUCGCGUUUAUGAUCAAUGUCAUCAUUGUCAUUAGAGUCUAGAGCCUACUGUCUUUGCUUUCAUCUUCUGAUUCAUCUAAGAAUUGCGAACAGCUUUCCUUUUUUUUUUUCCUCUUUGCCAUUAUCGACAGAAAGCAAAAAAUCCUGAAUUUUCAACAGUGUUCAAUGCAAGCUACAAAGAUGAUAUCUCUGGUGUUCUUUUAUACGCUCUUGAAGAUGAUGCUGUACAUUUGCCAAUUGGUCAGGACAGUUAAGAAGGAUGCAGUUGUGGUGAUUUAUCUCACUGUUGCAUCAUCCUGCUAAUCCAGGUCACUGUAUUCUUGUUGUUCAGAAGAAUAUUGAUGAAAUAGCAAACAUGUUUCAAAAUAUAGGAAAAUUAAGAACCCAAAGGUCACAAAAUGUAACUUAGAUGUAUAAAAUGGUCCAAUGGAUGCAUAGGGAGUAAUUGGGAGAUAGAAUGAAUCGUAUUCUUUUAAGAAAAAAAUUACUUUUUUUUUUCUUUGGAAGACCUCUAAUAAAGAAAAAAAGUCAAGCAAUAUCAAUCCUUACAAAUAGAUGCAACAGCUCAAAAAAUAAACUUAAAAAUUAAAAUUGGAUCUAAGAGAUCCUGAUGAGAGUUUUCGCCCAUAUUCUGACUCAUAGACAAUCUCUUAAAACUUUCUGUGAGUGGAAACAUGUUUUUUUCCUUUUGAGUAGUAUUUGAUAAGGAAGUGAUUUGGAAUAAAAUAUCUUUUAUAGGUUAGUGUAUUCAUAGUUUUUGCAUUGAAAGUUUAUUUUUAUGUAAUCUUUAAAAUGAUACUCAUGAUAUGUGUCCUUUUUUCACUUUGUGGCAUAUACCAGUUGUUUAUGUGAGAAAAAAUGUGAAUUACAGUGAAUAGGAAAAGGUAUGUUAUGAUUUGAUUUUAGUUCCUCUCUCUAUAUAUAUGAUAUAUGAUAUAUUUUACAACAUUAUAACAGGAAAUAGGCAAUGCUUAAUUUUGCACUUAAAUUGGUAUAUAAGGACCCCUGGGUGGCUCAGUGGUUGAGCAUCUGCCUUCGGCUCAGGGCGUGAUCCUGGAGUCCUGGGAUCGAGUCCCACGUCGGGCUCCCUGCAUGGAGCCUGCUUCUCCCUCUGCCUGUGUC